rnacentral:tRNA from 1 species
GGGGAGGUAGCGAAGUGGCUAAACGCGGCUGACUGUAACUCAGUUCCUUUUGGUUCGGUGGUUCGAAUCCGCCCCUCCCCACCA